GACGAACGCUGGCGGCGUGCCUAAUACAUGCAAGUCGAACGCACUCUCGUUUAGAUUGACGGAGUUUGCUCCUGAUUGAUAAACAUUUGAAUGAGUGGCGGACGGGUGAGUAACACGUGGGUAACCUGCCCUAAAGUGGGGGAUAACAUUUGGAAACAGAUGCUAAUACCGCAUAAAACCUAACACCGCAUGGUGUAGCGUUGAAAGAUGGUUUCGGCUAUCACUUUAGGAUGGACCCGCGGUGCAUUAGUUAGUUGGUGAGGUAAAGGCUCACCAAGACCGCGAUGCAUAGCCGACCUGAGAGGGUAAUCGGCCACACUGGGACUGAGACACGGCCCAGACUCCUACGGGAGGCAGCAGUAGGGAAUCUUCCACAAUGGACGAAAGUCUGAUGGAGCAACGCCGCGUGAGUGAAGAAGGUUUUCGGAUCGUAAAACUCUGUUGUUGGAGAAGAAUGUAUCUGAUAGUAACUGAUCAGGUAGUGACGGUAUCCAACCAGAAAGCCACGGCUAACUACGUG
rnacentral:rRNA from 1 species